rnacentral:rRNA from 1 species
UACGGAGGGAGCUAGCGUUGUUCGGAAUUACUGGGCGUAAAGCGCACGUAGGCGGCUUUGUAAGUUAGGGGUGAAAGCCCGGAGCUCAACUCUGGAAUAGCCUUUAAGACUGCAUCGCUUGAAUCCAGGAGAGGUGAGUGGAAUUCCGAGUGUAGAGGUGAAAUUCGUAGAUAUUCGGAAGAACACCAGUGGCGAAGGCGGCUCACUGGACUGGUAUUGACGCUGAGGUGCGAAAGCGUGGGGAGCAAACAGG